CCUACGGGAGGCAGCAGUGAGGAAUAUUGGUCAAUGGUCGGGAGACUGAACCAGCCAAGCCGCGUGAGGGAUGAAGGUACAGAGUAUCGUAAACCUCUUUUGUCAGGGAACAAAGGCGGGAUCGCGUCCCUGAACGAGGGUACUUGAAGAAAAAGCAUCGGCUAACACCGUGCCAGCAGCCGCGGUAAUACGGAGGAUGCGAGCGUUAUCCGGAUUUAUUGGGUUUAAAGGGUGCGCAGGCGGGGUGUUAAGUCAGCGGUAAAAGCCCGGGGCUCAACCCCGGCCGGCCGUUGAAACUGGCAGUCUUGAGUACAGUAGAGGUGGGCGGAAUUCGUGGGGUAGCGGUGAAAUGCUUAGAUAUCACGAAGAACUCCGAUUGCGAAGGCAGCUCACUGGACUGCAACUGACACUGAGGCUCGAAAGUGUGGGUAUCAAACAGGAUUAGAUACCCCUGUAGUC
rnacentral:rRNA from 1 species